GGGGAAGUGGCGAAAGGGGCAGUAAGGCGUGGGUAACUUACCGGAGGGACCGGGAUAGCCUCGGGAAACCGAGGGUAAUACCGGGCGACGUACCGGGGACGCAUGUGUCGGGUACCAAAGGUCAGCCGCCCUUUGAGGGGCUCACGUGAUAUUAGCUGGUUGGUGGGGUAACGGCCCACCAAGGCAAAGAUGUCUAGCGGGUGUGAGAGCACGACCCGCGCCACUGGCACUGAGACACUGGCCAGACUCCUACGGGAGGCUGCAGUCGAGGAUCUUCGGCAAUGGGCGCAAGCCUGACCGAGCGACGCCGCGUGCGCGAUGAAGGCCUUCGGGUUGUAAAGCGCUGUCGAGGGGGAGGAAAGCCCGCAAGGGUCUGACCUAUCCCUGGAGGAAGCACGGGCUAAGUUCGUGCCAGCAGCCGCGGUAGGACGAACCGUGCAAACGUUGUUCGGAAUCACUGGGCUUAAAGGGCGCGUAGGCGGGCGAGCGAGUCCGGGGUGAAAUCUUUCGGCCCAACCGGAAAAGGGCCUUGGAUACUGCUCGUCUAGAGGGAGGUAGGGGCAGACGGAACUUCCGGUGGAGCGGUGAAAUGCGUUGAUAUCGGAAGGAACGCCGGUGGCGAAAGCGGUCUGCUGGAUCUCUACUGACGCUGAGGCGCGAAAGCCAGGGGAGCGAACGGGAUUAGAUACCCCGGUAGUCCUGGCCCUAAACGAUGGGUACUAGGUAGUGGACUUACAUGGGUUCCCUGCCGAAGCAAAAGUGACAAGUACCCCGCCUGGGGAGUAUGGUCGCAAGGCUGAAACUCAAAGGAAUUGACGGGGGCUCACACAAGCGGUGGAGCAUGUGGCUUAAUUCGAGGCUACGUGAAGAAC
rnacentral:rRNA from 1 species